AGAUGUUAGGGCGAUCUGGCUGCGACAUCUGUCAGCCCAUUGAUCGCCAGGGUUGAUUUGGCUGAUCUGGCUGGCUAGGCGGGUGUCCCCUUCCUUCCUCACUGCUCCAUGUGCAUCCCUCCCGAAGCUGCGUGCUCGGUCGAAGAGGAUGACCAUCCCCGAUAGAGGAGGAUCGGUCUUCGGUCAAGGGUAUAUGAGUAGCUGCGCUCCCCUGCUAGAACCUCCAAACAAGCUCUCAAGAAAUCGUACUUCGAGUAUCCAUACAACCAUUCUGUUUUUCAUUUUCAGUAGUGUAUUUAAUAAGUUGCAU
rnacentral:snRNA from 1 species